rnacentral:lncRNA from 1 species
ACAAUAUGUAUGAAAUUUUUAUUGUCUGCUUCAAUACAAGAAACAAAGUUUAAAUCUUUCAGUGUAUAUUGUUUCCUAAGUGAAAAAAAAGUAUUCUAUUAGCUAAUGCCUCCAAAGAGAAGUUUAAAGUUCUGAAAAGUAAUUGUUGCUCCAUAAAAUUUAGAGGCAACAUAUUUUUAAUAUUUAAGAUUUUAGUUACAGAAAAUCUAAGAAAGAAAAAUUUAUUUGCUUCAAAAUUUUUAUUUUCAAAACCUCCAAAAGAUGUUUUGUCAACAAUUUAAUGUUACACAUGUUACUGAGAUAUUUUAUAAUUCUCAAAGGUAUUGUAAAACUUUAAAAACUAUACCUUCUUUAAAAACAAAGAAGGGGGGAGAGAAAUUAUAUCCCCGUGCACAUUAUUUGGAUCACAUAUUUGUUUUGGAAAAACUGGAUAGAAUAGUGUCUAGGGCAGAUAAAAAGGAUCCACUUAUUGGCACUUGCCAUGAUCCUGUUCAGAUACUUAAUAUGGGGAAAAGGGGGAAUGUUUCUGUUUUUUCCACAGAAUGCUACAAGAGCAUGCUAGCUUCCAAUGUGACAGACUGACCUGUGACUUGUGAGUGCCCUGACAGUGGUGACCAAAAAGCUGUGCUGAGUACACAAAAGAAGAAAAAUCGGAGAGCAUCCACUUACAAACAGAUAAAGAAACUUCGUAUCUCCACCAUGGGCUGCAGCAAGGAGUACCAACCUGGUGCCAACUUAAAAUACAAACAACUAAAAAAAACUGACUCGUGAGGCAAAAAGACUGGUACAGAGAAUGUACAAGAUGCUUUCGUCAGAGACACUGUUUUUUGCCAUUCAGGCCAGCUCCUUAUAGCUAUGAAAGUUUAUGUACCUUACCUAUAUGCUUAUUUUUAGAUAAUUUUAAGAGUUAAGAUCGCCAAUCUUGGCAAGUCUUUUCAUAUUCAUUGUAAUUCUUGUCAAUUAACUAAUUGUGUAGAUCCUAAUUUAGAUAAGGAAUCUACUGUUAUGUUUUUGUUAGAGACCUGCUUAUGUUUUGCUGCCUAUUAGAGUUAAAAAAUGAUCCUUGGUUUUAAAAUCUGAAAAUGCAAACUUUAAAAAGGUAUCUACCACAGCUUUAGAUCAGCAGCUACAUACUGCCCAUUUUGUUAAUGAUAAGCAUAGGAAUAUUUCCAUAGCUUUGUCAGAGCAACAUAUUAUAUAGAUAAAAAUUUAGAGACAAAAGAUGUCUUAGAAGUAGUAGUCUUAGUAAAAAGACAAGAUAUAACAUACAUUAAGGCUAGAAAGGUAGAAAUUUUAGACAUAGCCAAGCCUUGACCGGUGUUCCACUGUCCUAGAAAGUCCUUGAGCAGACCAUGGGCUUAGAUUUCAACACUAUCACUUUAAAUAAAAGCUAGGUCACUGCCUUACACAGGAAUUUACCAUCAACUAGGAAAAAGGAAGUUUAAGACCUAAAGAGGAACCAGAGUAGAUACUUAGAACUGUAGAUAACUGAGUUACACCCAUACACAAGUAUUUACAAUGGCCUAGGGGAAAGGUGAACUACCAAAACUGGUUUUCAACCUCCCCCUGGCUUUUGACCUUGUUGCCCUCCCUUUUAGGGCCCCUAUUAAAAUUCCUAUUAUUAAUCUCCUUCGGUCCUUGGGCAUUUCAGAAAUUGACCCGAUUUUUUAAAUCUCAAGUUGAUUCAUCUCUUUCAAGUGCAUUUGUUUCAGUUCAUUACCAUUGGCUGGACGUUGGUGAUAACAAGCAGGUUACUGGAGAAGAGGCAGACGCGGAUGUCGCUUCAUCACCCUCUUCUCGGGGAGAGAGACUCAAUUUCCAUAAAAUGCUUAAGUAAGAUCAUUCCCCUCCCCCUAAAUUCGGCCAUCAGUCUCAUGCCACAAAUCAUUUAUAGAUUGCCGUAGUCUGUGCUUUUCCGACAUGGUAAUAUACGUUCUCGCCACAUUGGAAACUAAACAGUCAUCCCAGGCUAGACACAUCAAAAAAUUAAAACUUGAAGCCGUCGCCCGUGAGAGUUGUAAGACUAAGUACUGCACAGAGAUUAGUCUAAAAGCUGUUAGACAGUCUCUGAGAGGCAUGUCUGAUUGCAUAAAGGUUGAGUGCCCUAGGGACCUUUCCCCAGAAAAAAACAGCACAGGAGCAGGUCAGGGUUACUCUGUGGGCCUGAGAGUCAAUCCUGUACAUGGCCCCUAAUAUUGCACACUGGGGAUCAGACCUCUACCUCUACCCACGGAACUUGCUUCGUUCCUAAAUCCCUUGGCUAGCCCAAGUUAUAUCCAAAAGAUUGGAACCAUUAAUUCAAGCCUCAUAGAUGACUUGUCCUUGUGUCCUUCGUGGUUUUAGAGAAUCAUCCGGUGAGCAAACAGACGUUUAGAUGAUCGUUAAAAACGUGGCUACAAAUUUAUUAUACAAUAUGCCUUUAUAAAAAUAUUAAAACGGGGGAGAUGUUGGGAGCCAUUAAGGCAACGCUAUUGUCCUGAUCUCUGAAUUGGGCCUCUCCCCCCGAGAAGAAAAGAGGGUCAAAAGCGGGCCACCGACACAUGGAUUCCAAGAACUACGGGAUGUUCCAGCCCUGGGUCAUCACCGGUGUCCUGACCACACCCUGAUACCACCAAGUUCCUGCUUCCCGGUGUAGCUGCCAAAAGAAAGAAUUUCUAUUGCCCCCCUUCCCAUAAGUACUUCUCCUUUUGCUUGUAUUGCCCUACCCCUCCCACUGAUAAUUACUUCCCCUUUUGCUUGUAUUGCCCUACCCCUCCCACUGAUAAGUAUCUGUACUUCCCCCUUUGCUUGUGCAUUUAAACCUUGGACCUUUCUCAAUACAUUGGGGUCUUGAUACAACUUCAGAACGGUUUCCGUGUCGUUACUCGUACAAGACCCUCGUCUCUCUCUACCCCCCAUUUGGUUAUUAGGAGGAGGUCCCCUCGAGAUCCUCGAAUAACUGGACCUGCUGGACGGGUCA